GGGUGAGUAACGCGUGGGAAUCUACCCAUCUCUACGGAACAACUCCGGGAAACUGGAGCUAAUACCGUAUACGUCCUUAUGGAGAAAGAUUUAUCGGAGAUGGAUGAGCCCGCGUUGGAUUAGCUAGUUGGUGGGGUAAUGGCCUACCAAGGCGACGAUCCAUAGCUGGUCUGAGAGGAUGAUCAGCCACAUUGGGACUGAGACACGGCCCAAACUCCUACGGGAGGCAGCAGUGGGGAAUAUUGGACAAUGGGCGCAAGCCUGAUCCAGCCAUGCCGCGUGAGUGAUGAAGGCCCUAGGGUUGUAAAGCUCUUUCAACGGUGAAGAUAAUGACGGUAACCGUAGAAGAAGCCCCGGCUAACUUCGUGCCAGCAGCCGCGGUAAUACGAAGGGGGCUAGCGUUGUUCGGAAUUACUGGGCGUAAAGCGCACGUAGGCGGAUAUUUAAGUCAGGGGUGAAAUCCCGGGGCUCAACCCCGGAACUGCCUUUGAUACUGGGUAUCUCGAGUCCGAGAGAGGUGAGUGGAAUUCCGAGUGUAGAGGUGAAAUUCGUAGAUAUUCGGAGGAACACCAGUGGCGAAGGCGGCUCACUGGCUCGGGUACUGACGCUGAGGUGCGAAAGCGGGGGAGCAAACAGGAUUAGAUACCCUGGUAGUCCACGCCGUAAACGAUGGAAGCUAGCCGUUGGCAAGUUUACUUGUCGGUGGCGCAGCUAACGCA
rnacentral:rRNA from 1 species